UAAGACGAACCGUGCAAACGUUAUUCGGAAUCACUGGGCUUAAAGGGCGCGUAGGCGGGCUGGAUAGUCUGCGGUGAAAUCCCCCAGCUUAACUGGGGAACUGCCGUGGAUACUGCCAGUCUCGAGGAGGGUAGGGGCAUCUGGAACAGCCGGUGGAGCGGUGAAAUGCGUUGAUAUCGGCUGGAACUCCGGUGGCGAAGGCGAGAUGCUGGACCCUUUCUGACGCUGAGGCGCGAAAGCCAGGGGAGCGAACGGGAUUAGAUACCCCGGUAGUCCUGGCCCUAAACGAUGAGAACUGGAUAGCGACCCUGACAUAGGGCCGCUGUCGGAGCAAAAGUGUUAAGUUCUCCGCCUGGGGAGUAUGGUCGCAAGGCUG
rnacentral:rRNA from 1 species